rnacentral:lncRNA from 1 species
GUCCAAACCGCACCGCCUCCACAUACCAUUGCAUUGGUGAGUAGGUUUCAGCAUUUGGAUUUGGGGGAGAACAAACAUUCAGACCAUAGUGGAAAGUAAUAAAUUAUAUGUCCUGAAAGCACAGAUGACAGUUGCUAAUUCACCUCGGAGGAGGUCAGAGAGAUUAGUAGGUUUUUCUAGUUAAUAUGCUACUGUUAACUGAGAUAUGAAUUGGUUUAAGGAGAGAAAAUAAUAGUUUUGGUUUUGAACAUGCUGAAUUUGAGGUAAUACUUGCCCAUGAAGGUGAUCUGUAGACAACUGAAAUGCCGACCUAAAGUUUAGGAGAUGCUUCCCGUGUAAAAAGAAGAUAUGACAUUUGAAAGGACAUAGGUUAUAUGCAUUUGAUCUGGUGAAAAAUAUGGGGGAAAAUGUAUUAGUUAUCUAUUGAUACAUAAGCAAAACCCACAAACUUAGCAGCUUAAAAAGGUUUCUGUAGAUAGUCCUGUAAUUCCUGUGUGUCAGGAGUCUAAACAUGGCUUAGCUGAGGCCUCUGCCUUAGGGUCCCAAACAGCUAAAAUCAAGGUGUUCACAUAGAUUUUUUCCAUAUUCUAUUGGCUAGAAGCAAGUUACAGACCACACCCACACGUGAGGGAAGGGGAUCACUUGCAAGACUGAACACCAGGAGGUGGGGAUCUUGGGAGCCACUCUCAAGUCUGUCUGCACAAAAGAGAUCCAAAAAUACCAGACUCCCACUCAUAUUCAGCUUGCAUUUAAAAAAUAUGACAGUGCCCACAUAUAUAAUUUUGCUUGGAAAAUGCUAACUGGUGUAUAUUUAAUUUAACCCGACAACACCUAAGUGCAGCCGGUGCCCUAACACAUGGACACAGGAAGGGGAACAUCAUACACCGGGGCCUGUUGUGGGGUGGGGGGAGCGGGGAGGGAUGGUAUUAGGAGAUAUACGUAAUGUUAAAUGAAGAGUUAAUGGGUGCAGCACACCAACACGGCACAUGUAUACAUAUGUAACAAACCUGCACAUUGUGCACAUGUACCCUAAAACUUAAAGUAUAAUAAAAAAAAAAAAUUAAAAAAAAAAAGAAAUAGCUCC